UUACUUGUAUUUGAUGAUCUUGUAUAUGCAUGUUCCCCUUAUUCUUUUUAUAUGUAAUAUAAUGCGUAAUUUUGUUCUAUCUUGGUGUGAUGUUGCAAUAUAUGUGAGAUAUAUUAGAACUAUUAGUGCAAGCAGUGUGGGCUACCAUUGUGGUACAUUUUCUGAUUGCAGGUAAUGUGCCCUUAGUGUAUAUUUUGUAUACUUUAUUUACUACUUUGCUUGGUUGGCCUAUGACACCUACUGAGUACAAUUGGACCGUACUCAUGCCUACUGCGCCCUUUUAGUGUAGGUCUUAGCUCGAGUGCACCUCAACUUGAUUGACUCGGGUGAUUUUGGAGCUUCCAAGGUAGCAGUUAGACAUUCAUACUUCCGAAGUUCACCUCUAUUUUUCUAUAGUAGUUAUGCCUUUAUUAGUCUUCGUAGAUAGUUAUUAUUCCUUUGUGGUCAUUUUUCUAAUGUAUUUGACUCUCGGAUUGUAUUAGUAGUUCUUACACUAUUGACACCUGAUUUUGGGCAUGAUUGGUAUUUUGGCUAAGUUUGUUACACAUUAUUUUGAUUGCUAUUAUGGUUCGGCUUGAUUCUAGAAGCCUUACCUUGGGAUAUUUCUGUCUUUUCCUCUUUUCGUAUCAGUUUGGGUAAUAGGCUUACUUGUCAAGGUAUGUCGUGAGAAGUAUCAUCAUGAGCCUCAUUUUUGGGUCAUGAAAACUUGGUAUCAGAGUAGUCAGGUUUCAUUGGUCUAAAUGGUGUAAGAAUGGGAUAUCUAAUAGAGUCUCGCAGAUUGAUACGUAGACAUUCGUAUCUAUCUUCGUGAGUCUAUAGGAUGUCUUUAGGAAAUGUCCCUCAUUUUACUCUUUAUCAUGCAAAGUUCUUUCAAACCUUGUGUUUUGAGUUGUGUUUCACUCUUUCUGCAUAGAUGGUGCUGUCUAGGUCUUACGAGAGUAGAGAGGCAAAGCCUUCUCCCAGAGGGCGAACCUCGAGUCGUGGAUGAACUCAACGGAGUGGAUGGACCCGCGGUGCAGCCCCAUCUAGGAAGAGUGCUAGGGGACUCUCUCUUGAGCCUCAUUUUGAAUAGGUUAGAGAUGUGGGUCCUACUCUAGUUCUUCAGAGUUUGUCUACCCUAGUGUUGGAGAGAUUGUUGGUAUGUUUGCUGACCCAUCUAAAGGGUUCUCAUUUGGUUAUGCCGGGUGUUCCUUCAGUUAAGAGUGUGAAUCCUCUUGUUGCACCUGCUUCUGGUUUGGGUACUCAGACCCCAAGUACUAUUCUAACUUCAGUGUCGAUAUCUAACUAUAAGGUUUUGAGAUCAGGAGUUCAGCCAUCAUCUGUGUUACCUCCUCAAGUGGGAUCUCAGCCAGUUGAACUUUCCAUGCCUCAUAUUCGUCAGUGAGCCAUGUCUCAGAUGAUUUUGUUUAGGGGUUCUUUUCAGAGUGUUAUGGAUCAUGUUAAGGUGACAAUGGAUAUUUCUCGGGUAUCUUACGGAGGAGCCAAGAGGGUGCAUCGUUUUGGAAAGUUCAGAGGUCAGACUCCACGAGGCAAAGAUUUUAAAGGUUCUCGUGGGUCUUCUAGUUCAGCAGUGCAGGGUGGAAGUCAGGGAAAGUUUAGAGUUUUCUAUGUAUGUGAUGAGACUGGCCAUAUAGCCAAGGACUGUCCUCACUGAGUGUUUAGAGCUACUUCUAUUUCAGCUGUGGAAGGUAGGGGUUUCACCGGAGGUGCGAGAGUUAGAGAUAGUGGAGGCCAUAAUGGUGGUCGUGGGGUUACUCAGCCAGUUCAUAGUCAUGGACAGUGUUAUGCUAUACCAUCCAGACCUGAGGUAGAGGCUUCUAAUGUUGUGAUUACAGGUACCUCCUUCGUGUGUUUCAGAUCUGCAUCUAUAUUAUUUAAUCUCAGAUUAACUUUCUCCUAUGUGACUGUGUAUUUUGCUUUGGGUUUUGAUUAUGUUAGUGAGCCUCUUGCUAUGUCUCUUCGUGUAUUUACCCCGGUAGGUGAUGUUUUAGUGGUGGAUCGAGCGUACCAAUCUUGUGUUGUGACUUUUGCCAGGCAUGAGACUUUGGUAGACUUACUUAUAUUAGACAUGGUCGAUUUUGAUGUUAUUUUAGGCAUGAAUUGGUUAUCUCCUUAUCAUGCUAUCUUAGAUUGUUUUGCUAAGGCUGUGACUUUAGCUUCGUGGGGUAUACCAAGGAUAGCUCGGAAAGGUACACUUUAUUCGAGUUAUAAGAGGGUCAUAUCUUAUGUUUAGGCUCAUAAAUUGGUUGAGAGGAGAUGUUUAUCUUACUUGGCUUAUAUUUGUGACACCAGUGUUAUUUUGUCUGCUUUCUUGGAUUCUGUCUGUGUUGUCCGUGAGUUUAUAAAUGUGUUCUCUACGGACUUGCCUAGUAUGCCUUCGGAUUGAGAUAUUGAUUUUAUUAUUGAUGUUGAGCCGGGCACCAAGACCAUUUCCAUUCCUCCUUAUAGGAUGGUCCCAACAGAGUUGAAGGAACUGGAGGAUCAGUUGUAUAAGAGAUUUAUUCAACCUAGUGUUUCACCUUGGGGUGCUCCUAUCUUUUUUGUAAAAAAAAAAAGAAUGGGUCU
rnacentral:lncRNA from 1 species